GUGUGUGUGUGUGUGUGUGUGUGUGAACCGUAUAUAUAAACACUACAUAAUUCGUUUAUUCUGGAGAAGGAUGGGGUUAAACAGUAAAAACAGAGAUUUGUCAUUAAGGAGCAGGUAGGGGUUAGACAGUGAAUACAGAGACGGGUCAUUAAGGAGCAGGUAGGGGUUAGACAGUGAAUACAGAGACAGGUCAUUAAGGAGCAGGUAGGGGUUAGACAGUGAAUACAGAGACGGGUCAUUAAGGAGCAGGUAGGGGUUAGACAGUGAAUACAGAGACGGGUCAUUAA